UUAGAGUUUGAUCCUGGCUCAGGAUAAACGCUGGCGGCGUGCUUAAUGCAUGCAAGUCGAACGGUCCUUCGGGAUAGUGGCGAACGGGUGAGUAACACGUAAGUAACCUGCCCCUAAGUGGGGGAUAACUUCGGGAAACCGGAGCUAAUACAGCAUGUGGCCCUUCCAUUAAUUGGAAGGAUUAAAGCCUUCGGGCGCUUGGGGAGGGGCUUGCGUCCGAUUAGCUGGUUGGUGAGGUAACGGCCCACCAAGGCAAUGAUCGGUAGCUGGUCUGAGAGGAUGACCAGCCACACUGAGACUGAGACACGGCCCAGACUUCUACGGAAGGCAGCAGCAAGGAAUAUUGUGCAAUGGGCGAAAGCCUGACACAGCGACGCCGCGUGGGGGAAGAAGGUCUUCGGGUUGUAAACCCCUUUUCUUAGGGAAGAAUAAUGACGGUACCUAAGGAAGAAGUCUCGGCUAACUACGUGCCAGCAGCCGCGGUAAUACGUAGGAGGCAAGCGUUAUCCGGAUCUAUUGGGCGUAAAGCGCGUGUAGGCGGCUCUUCAAGUCGGAUGUAAAAUCUCCUGGCUCAACCAGGAGGGACCAUUCGAUACUGCUGGGCUAGAGUUCGGCAGAGGGAGGUGGAAUUCCCGGUGUAGUGGUGAAAUGCGUAGAUAUCGGGAGGAACACCAGUGGCGAAGGCGACCUCCUGGGCUGCAACUGACGCUAAGACGCGAAAGCGUGGGGAGCGAACAGGAUUAGAUACCCUGGUAGUCCACGCUGUGAACGAUGGACACUAGGUAUGGGGAGUAUCGACCCUCUCCGUGCCGUAGCUAACGCAUUAAGUGUUCCGCCUGGGGACUACGGCCGCAAGGCUAAAACUCAAAGGAAUUGACGGGGGCCCGCACAAGCAGCGGAGCGUGUGGUUUAAUUCGAUGCAACACGAAGAACCUUACCAGGGCUUGACAUGCUGGAAGUAGAAACCCGAAAGGGGGACGACCUGUUAAGUCAGGAACCUGCACAGGUGCUGCAUGGCUGUCGUCAGCUCGUGCCGUGAGGUGUCGGGUUAAGUCCCAUAACGAGCGCAACCCUCGUCGCUAGUUGUUUUCUCUAGCGAGACUGCCCCGCAAAACGGGGAGGAAGGUGGGGAUGACGUCAAGUCAGCAUGGCCCUUAUGCCCUGGGCUACACACACGCUACAAUGGGUGGCACAAUAGGUGGCAAUGGGGCGACCCGGAGCUAAUCCUCCAAAACCAUCCUCAGUACAGAUUGCAGGCUGAAACCCGCCUGCAUGAAGGCGGAGUUGCUAGUAACCGUGUAUCAGCAUGGCGCGGUGAAUACGUUCUCGGGCCUUGUACACACCGCCCGUCACGUCAUGAAAGUUGGCAACACCUGAAGUCGAUGGGCCAACCUGAUUUUAUCGGGAGGUAGUCGCCGAAGGUAGGGCCGAUAAUUGGGACGAAGUCGUAACAAGGUAACC
rnacentral:rRNA from 1 species